rnacentral:rRNA from 1 species
AUUGAACGCUGGCGGCAUGCCUUACACAUGCAAGUCGAACGGUAACGGGCCUUCGGGUGCCUACGAGUGGCGCACGGGUGAGUAAUACAUCGGAACGUGCCCGAUCGUGGGGGAUAACGAGGCGAAAGCUUUGCUAAUACCGCAUACGAUCUACGGAUGAAAGCAGGGGACCGCAAGGCCUUGCGCGGACGGAGCGGCCGAUGGCAGAUUAGGUAGUUGGUGGGAUAAAAGCUUACCAAGCCGACGAUCUGUAGCUGGUCUGAGAGGAUGAUCAGCCACACUGGGACUGAGACACGGCCAAGACUCCUACGGGAGGCAGCAGUGGGGAAUUUUGGACAAUGGGCGCAAGCCUGAUCCAGCCAUGCCGCGUGCAGGAUGAAGGCCUUCGGGUUGUAAACUGCUUUUGUACGGAACGAAAAGCCUUCUUUUAAUACAGGAGGGUCAUGACGGUACCGUAAGAAUAAGCACCGGCUAACUACGUG